ensembl:snoRNA SNORD54 small nucleolar RNA, C/D box 54
UGGCGAUGAGGAGACAAGAAGUGUGUUGAGUUAUGAUGAUCGUUUUAUACGCUAUUCUGAGCCAGCA